ensembl:lncRNA
AUGGGCUACAUGGUCGUGCUCCACCGGCACCUGUGGCUGACACUCACCGAGCUGAAGGACGCGGACAGGAGGGCGCUGCUCAAUGCUCCUGUAUCUCCAUUUGGCCUAUUUGGAAACGCAGUAGACGGUAUUGUGGAGUGUUUCUCAGAGGCACAGAAAUGCUCUAAGGCGAUGAGUAACUUCCUGCCACGCCGGGCUGCAGCGCAGCCUCCUCCGUGCAGUAGAUCCUCAUCUGCUUCCAACCAGCUGUCGAAGCGGCCCCCCUCUGUUUCCACUUCAUCAGCACCAGACCCGGAGCCGUCUGUUCGCGCCAAAACUCCUUUGCAGAGGACACAGAAAGAAAAUUGUCACAGAUUUCUAGAAAGGCGGAAACCGUCCCGGGGGAGCUCCUCCAUGGGAACAAAAGCCUCGUUCCUGACGAGAGGGUACAGAGGAGCACGAUCACGAUCCUCUCUAACACACAGCGCUCCCACUCGUCCCGUGAGCUUUCUGAAUAUGACCCCGGUACGCAGCAGCAUUGUUCAGAAUUCAGAGGGCGAGGCACUCCGCCCUCUGUGUCUUUUUGCAAGAGCAUGGCGGUCCAUUCCGGGCAUUUCGGUUUGGUUGCGGAACGCCAUAGAGAUGGCUACACGUUUCAGUUUCGACGCAGACCACCCCGGUUCAAUGGUGUGGUCAUGCCACCCUGUAGCACUGAAUGAAUAUCAGAGGCUCUUGGCGACGGCCGCAAAGGUCUGUCACCUCGGUCUACUCUAUAUGCGCCCCCUCCAGUUAUGGCUGAAAACACAAGUACAGAGAAGGGCAUGGAAAACGGGCCGUGCCCGCGUUGUGGUCACUCGCAGGUGCUUAAGAGUGCUGAAACAAUGGCAGAACCCUGACUUGUACCAACGUGGUGCCCAGAUGGGUCUGGUAGUGCGGUGGAAAGUGGUCACAACGGACGCGUCGACGACGGGCUGGGGAGCUCACUGUGACGGCUUACCGGCCUCGGGCUACUGGACAGAGUCGGAGAGGACAUGUGGCACAUAA